rnacentral:rRNA from 1 species
GAUGAACGCUGGCGGCGUGCCUAAUACAUGCAAGUCGAGCGAACGGACGAGAAGCUUGCUUCUCUGAUGUUAGCGGCGGACGGGUGAGUAACACGUGGAUAACCUACCUAUAAGACUGAGAUAACUUCGGGAAACCGUAGCUAAUACCGGAUAAUAUUUUGAACCGCAUGGUUCAAAAGUGAAAGACGGUCUUGCUGUCACUUAUAGAUGGAUCCGCGCUGCAUUAGCUAGUUGGUAAGGUAACGGCUUACCAAGGCAACGAUGCAUAGCCGACCUGAGAGGGGGUGAGGGCACACAGGGAACGAGAGACGGGGCCGAGACCCACGGGAGGCAGAACGGGGGGAAAUUUCCCGAAGGGGGCGAGCCCGAGAGGGAGAAGCGCCGUGAGAGUGAUAAGGUUUCGCGUUUCAAAAAUCUCUUUUUUGGGGAAAAAACAUGUGUAAAUAAAGCUGCGCACCUUGAGGGGGCCCAUACAGAGAACCCCAGGUAAAACCAC